GUGAUGGAUCCCCCCCCCCCCGUUUCUUGCUGCAGGGUUGUUGUUUUUCUAAAUCCAAUCCCAUUCAUUGGUAUUUUGUUAUUUUAUAGUGUAUUUAUGACCACAUACCCAGUGUUGUUUUGGAAUUCUAAGAAACAGAUAAAGCCAGUGGUUAUAAGCAGUGCAGUUUUGAAAGGUUCCCUCUGGCAUCUUGCUUCAUAAUGGCAUCUAGCUGUAUCCAAAUAUCGAAAACCUACUCCUUGAUAUCAGGAACCAUCAUGCAAAAUUUGGUUGCAAUAUCUUAAGACCCAGAUGCAUAGUAAACAAAAAACUUUUCAAAAUACAUACCAUUUCUUUUUUAUUAAUGUUCAUUGCUUUGGGAGUAUUUAGACUGAAAAGUAUUAUAUCAAUAAAUUAAAAUAACUUCAAAUCUAUUUCUUUAUCAGUAAGCAUAUAUACCAUGCAGAUACACUUCUGAUGUGUGUACAAACUGUGACAAACCUGAGCUCUUUCAUGUUUUACUACUACUACUAUGGUAAAGAUUAUUGGCAAGAUAAAUACAUCUUAAGCAUUCUCAGAUGCUGUAUGAAUGGCCUCAAGCCUCAAUCACUAUGUCUUUGAAGCUGUUCUUUACCUAACAGUAACCCCAUUUUAUGGCUACCCCAACAUGAGCAACACCUGGUUCUCUUUCAUACCAUUUCUGGUUCCCCUCUCCGCACCCCCUAAAAAGACUUGUUAGUAGAGGUGCCCAAGAGCUCUACUUUUCUUUCUCAAAGGAUGAAUAACGCAAACACUUAACUUUUCAGACAUCGCAGUACCAAGUUAGGAAUCCCUUCCCAGCUAUUAAAAUAUGAGCCAAAGACUCUUCGUGGUUCCUUAGUGAGUCAGGCAACAUUUUCUUUGAGGACUUUCAUGUUGCAUUGCUCCCAAGUGCCAGACUUCAUUUAUAUGGUCCUGAAUGACUGCUUGGAACAUUUUUGUUUCUCUUGGCAAUUUUCCUCAUGACAGAAUAUGAUAUUCCUCUUUCUAUGUUUGUAACCAGCCUAGGGAAAUUUUAAUGGGGCUCGGUAAUAAAGAUUUAGAUUGGGACACCCUCCAUCAGCCCAGCCAGCAUAGAAAGUAAUCAAAAAUGAAGGGAGUGUUGUUGUUUAGUCGUGCCCGACUCUUCAUGACCCCAUGGACCAGAGCACGCCAGGCAUUCCUGUCUUCCACUGCCUCCAGCAGUUUGGUCAAACUCAUGUUGGUAGUUUUGAGAACACUGUCCCACCAUCUUGUCCUCUGUCAUUGCCUUCUCCUUGUGCCCUCAAUCUUUCCUAACAUCAGGGUCUUUUCCAGGGAGUCUUCUCUUCUCAUGAGGUGGCCAAAGUAUUGGAGCCUCAGCUUCAGUGAGCACUCAGGGCUGAUUUCCUUCAGAAUGGAUAGGUUUGAUCUUCUUGCAGUCCAUGGGACUCUCAAGAGUCUCCUCCAGCACCAUAAUUCAAAAGCAUCAAUUCUUCGGCAAUCAGCCUUCUUUAUGAUGGGAGUAGUCCAACAAAAUAGGCAGGGCACAUUGGCUACUUCUGCAUUUCUCCUAUUUGUCUGCUGUUAGUAUGUGAUCUGUUCCCCAACUAUUAUCAAUAAAAGGUGCAUGAGGAAUGGUUGAGGAAUUGGGUAUGUUUAGGCUGGUAAAGAGAAGACUGAGAGGAGAUAUAAUAGGCAUCUUCAAAUAUCUAAAAGGCUGUCACAUGGAAGCUUGUUUUCUCUGCUCUGGAGGCCAGGAUCCAAACCAAUGGAUUCAAGGUAAAAGAAAGGUGAUUCCAAUUACACAUCAGAAGGAAGAACUUUCUGACAGUAAGAGCUCUUCAACGAUAGAACAGACUCCCACACUAAGUGGUGGGUUCUCCUUCCUUGGAGGCUUUUAAGCAGAGGUUGGAUGUCCAUCUAUCACAUAUGAUCUAGUCGAGUCCUGUAUUGCAGAGCAUUGGACUAGAUGACUCUCAGGGUUCCUUCCAACUCUACAGUUCUAGGAUUCCAAGCAGGAGCUCAGCCCAACUGCCCAUUCACUGUCAGCUGCCAAAUGCUAAAAAUAUUCAGAGGCAGGACAAACUGGAGGGUGUUAUAGACAAGGCAGAGAGGGAUAAAUCUUACAAUGUUAUCUCAGACCCCAAACUCACAAGAUGGAUGUAGAACCUUUGGAGAUUAAAAGGCAAGAGUAAGCUGGUCUUCCAUAGACCAUAUGUCAAGGCAGCCUUGUUUUGGAAAGCUUUUAAUGUCUCAUGUUUUGUUUUAUUCCUUUAUAGUUUGUUGGAAGCUGCCUAUAGUGGUUGGGGUAAAAAUAAAUUUUCAUCAUCUUGAUAGACACACCUGAGAGCCUCUAAUGCCAAGAUCUGUGCUCUUAGGUGCAGCUCUAAGAUACUGCCCAGCUUAAGGCUCCUGAUUAUAUAAUUAACAUAGAAGAAGAAGUGUUUGGAUUUGAUAUCUCACUUUAUCACUACCCUGAGGAGUCUUAAAGCAGCUCACAAUCUCAUUUCCCUUCCUCCCCCCACAACAAACACUCUGUGAGGUGAGUGAGGCUGAGAGACUUCAGAGAACUGUGACUAGCCCAGGGUCACCCAGCAGCUGCAUGUGGAGGAGCGGGGAAGCGAACCCUGUUCACCAGAUUACGAGUCCACCGCUCUUAACCACUACACCACACUGGCUCUCAGGAGGACUGAGAACUUAUAUUUUUUUACUUAUAAAGUCAAAUAAAUCCACAAAUAAAUGCAGAGAUCUGGAUGUGCCAGGGUGCAGAGAUGUGGAUCUCCUAGGGUUUCAGGUGCUGACGCAGGUUCAGUUUCCUUGGAAUGAAGGACAGCGGAGACCGUGGUGUCUUCAGGAGGCAUGGUUUGAUUUGCACAAGUACAACCCGAGCAGAGGAUCCACGACCCAACAGAUCUUGCUUCUCCAUUAAGUCCUCCUUUUAUUCUGUUGCAGUGCCAGAGGAAGGGGGGGCGAAGGUAAGAGAUUGGGGGCUGGGACACAUGAUUAAGCGGUGUACAAAUUAACCCAACAAUGCUUUGCGGCAGCCGUAUCAGCAUUUCAACGAGCCAGUUGGAUAUCGGGGACUCUGACAUUGUGUACUGGAGGACCCCAAGCUGGAAGAAAAUCCUUGCUCCCCAGAGAGAUGCCAGCUCAGACAGCCCCCUGAGCUUCAACUAUGAAGCCUACGAGAGCGACUCCGACUGUAGCUUCCUUGGGCAGAGACCUGCCUGCAUGGCUGAUGCCACACAUUCUCACCCCUCCUCCCAGCGCAACUGACAGAGCUUCCCCCUCUUCCUCCGCAGUUUCCCAAAAUUGUAUCGGAGAGCUCGCUAACUUCCCACGAAGCUGGAGAAACUGAUAGUUUUUGGGACUCCCCUAAGGAGGCAGGUGGUGGACAGAGCAAGACCACUUUGUCGAGACCCCGAGACCGCGUCUGGAUUUACUCAGUCCUGACUGGGUUCCAAAUAUGUCCCCAUUUAGCUCCCUCAGCAGCCUUUCCUCCCUGUCCUCUGUGUCCUCCCUCAAUUUGCUUUGGGACUCACUGAAUGAGGUGCCAAAAAUGACCCCGUCCAGCUCCAUCAGCUCCCUGUCCUCCCUGGAUUCAUUUUGGGACUCAUUGAUGAGGUAGGUAGCAGACAGAAGGGAAGCCCUGCUGAGCUCCACAAGGGCAACCCUGAGGCUGGGGAAGAGGAGGAGGAGAAGCCAGCUGGCCGGCCAGGCCACCUUCUGGACCGGUUGUGAGCAAGGGGGCAGACAGGCAUGGGGCUGCUAAGGGCAGGCUGUGCUUGCUGGCGCUCUCCUCAUGGACCAGCCCCCCAUGGCGCCAGGGCUGUAGGGCUUCCCUGGCUAGUGACUCAAUGUGGGCAGGAGUGUCUGGCUUCUGAGCUCCUGUCUCAUUCUGGGCUGCUCUCUUUCUCCUUUCUCCCCACCACCACUGCCACCACCUCUGGGGUCCUGUCUCUGCCAGAAGUCAGCCUCUGAAUCCUUUGAAAAAGUGGCUGUCUCAUUUUGGGCUGCUCUCUUUCUGCUCUCUCCCCACUACCACUGUACCUCUGGGCUGGUUCCUCCAUCCUGUCUGGGGCAACAGUCAUCCUCUGAGGACGAAAUAUCCCAUGACAAAGUGACAGAGGAGGAGGGAAGCCCAGGCAUGGAAGCCAGAGUGGCCAAAAGAGAUCCAAACAGAAGAGUGCAAUUGGGAGCAGAGGAUCUGUGCAAACCUUUCCCUUUAUUUUUUUCCACUUAGAAAACUGGCUGUGAGGCUGUGAAGAUAAAGAUCCUAUGGGUAGAAAAGCAGCUAGAGACCUUGCUUUUGAGCAGAAAGAGGUGUGUGUGUGUGUGUGUUUUAAUGGAAGCAGUUCCCCGCUCCCCCAUGUAAACUCUAGAGAGGUGGAUUCAUUGGCACAUUUGAUGUCUGACAGGAAUUGCCUACAAUCAGGACACAUUACAAGUUGAAAACAGUUCUGUUGCUUCAGCAGCACCACCAGUGGAAGUGAAAUUGACUGCUUUCUGACAAAGGAUAGCAAAACUCCAGCACUAUUCCCCAUCUUCAAUGAAGCCUGCCACAGUGAGACUAUUUUGUUUGAAGGGAAUGCCUACAGUACCUUUCAUAUGUCUAUAGCACUUUCUGCAGAUUAAUCACUGAAUGGCUUAAGAGUUGAGGAAACAGUGAUGAGCAAGAAUAUUGGAACCCCAUUCAUUUGUCUGUGACAUAUCAAGUUAGAAACCAGAUACCCUCGGUCUUACUUUUUCUUGGAGGGGGAAUGGGAAGAAGAGUGGACUGGUCCCCAGGGUGAAUUUCUGGCCUACAACUUCCAUCACACCAAGCCAGCACAGCUGAUGGUCAGGGAUAAUGGGAGCUGCAUCUAAAGGGACACAGGCUGCCCAUCACUGUAUUGUUCUUUCCAUGAGUCUCUGGUCAGGAAAACCAUGCGGUUAAUAGUUGAAUAUUAGGACUGCUGGCUUUUCAGUCCCAGCUGGGCAGGCUCCUACUCCCUCUGUUAUGAGGGCUAAGAGGCAGCCACUAUAUGAGUUUUGGGAAGACUGCUUGAAAGCCUUGGAAGGCAGCCCACAACAUGGAGUAGUUAUCAGAAUUAUACAUCUGCUCUGAGCAUGCUCAGAACUACUCUCUUGAAAGCCAGACCUCAUAAGCUUUUAGCAUGUUCUGUUCAGUGGAGAAGAAAUGAAGUUUCCUAUUUUUAGGAGCUUUUUUUGUUCUACUUAGCAUUUGUUUAGUGACCUUGCUGGGGAGCAAGCUAGCAACAGUGGACACAGUAUGAGUCUUUCUAUUUUUUAAUUAAUCACUUUGUAUUUAUUUUUGUGAAUUGGAUUGAGGAGAAAUGGGUGAGUUGUGUAUGCUGCAAGGAUUUCCCUGCAUUUACCCACAGAACACUGCAGCUUCUGCAGGGGAAUGAGGGAGGGGGAGCACAGGUUGAUUUGAGGCAUGUGCAGUCCCAGCUCAUUUCCAGAAAAAGUGUGUGAAUUUUCAUCAGCACCAGUUCUGAAGUUGUUGCUAAGCUCCCUUUCACAUAAUAGCUGUAGCCACACAAGUGCUUACAUUUUCAGCAUACCUUCUAUUCCCCUGCCUUAAGAUUUUUACAGGAACUUAAACAGUAAGCAGCAUAUUCCCUUCAAGGUUAACUGCUUUUGCUUGAAUACUGCCUCAGAUUCAUCCUCAGCUAGGCUCAUAUAAUCAUACUAACCACAUUAAAGUAGGUAUCAAAGCUCUGAUUCUUCACUGGUCUUCCUGCCACUUAACGACUCAAUGUAGGCUACUCAGAAAAGCUGCCCAGUUAAAAGUAGAUUAUUAUAUUAUAGCCCCUUUUUAGAGUAUCAGUUGAACAAGCCAUCCAAUACUAGUAUAUCGUCUAUAAAAUGACCCAAUUGGUACUUUAAAAUGAAACUUCACCCAACACCUAGUGUUGGAUGAAGGGUACUGAAGCUAUUGAAUGCAACUGACAACGAACAGAAUCAGUUUUACCGAACUAUCAGGCUGCAAGUUGAUCUAUGAAGCUACAUCACUGGAAUUUCAAUUUCCCCUUUAGCCAUCUGCUGGGGAAGUUUGAAGAACAGCACAUUUUUACUGAAAGCUUGACAUUCAUCUCUUACAGCAGAGCUACAUAUUCAGAUUAAUUACAUGAUACUUACUGUCUUACUGGAAUUGUACCACUGUAAAAUGCAGAUAGGUUGCUGUAUAAUUAAAUGCUUUCAUAUAAACUCCCUACACAAAGAAAACAGGCACAAUGGAGUGACAAGCUAGCCUUCUACAGCAGGGGUUGGCAAGGCUUUCCGGGCAUGGGCCGGAUCACUCUGUGGAGAUCCUUCAUGGGCAGGGCCGGCGCAGCGUGACACCAGAAAUCGCUUCUGCGCAUGCCCAGAUGCCCAAAAUCACACCUGCGCAGAAGUGAUUUCCGGCGUCUGGUCGUGUGCAGAAGUGAUUUCCGGGGCUGUGGAAGAGAGUCCCCGCAUCAUGCUGGUUUAGUGCAGCACACGGGGAUUUGCCGAUCAGGCGGCUUGGUUCGGGGGCAGCUUAUGGGCCAGUUAAACGGCCUUUGUGGGCUGCUUCUGGUCCAUGGGCCUUAGGUUGCCGACCCCUGUUCUACAGGAAGGGUAUAAAAAUUGCUGAGUCAUGCAGGAGAUUUGGGAUUUUUGUACCUUCAUGAAAAGAAAAGUCUGAAGAUGGCUAGUAUAACCCUGCAGUUAUUUCAUCAAGUUCACUCAUUCCCAGCUCUCCAACAUAGCUCCAUACCCAAUAGACAGAUCUCUGCUGAUGACAGAUGGUUUCAAAACAGUAAUUUGGCACUGCAAAAAGUUUCUUAUUAACAAUAUAUAUCCCCUACUUCUUGUGCUAGGUUCUCUAGUGCUAGACAUUCAACAGGGCAGCUCCACAGCAUUCAGGCACAUGGUACAUAAGCAUACACAGAAGACUGCAGCACAUGGACAAUCUUUAUUGUUAGAGGAGCACCGGUAAUCCAUUACUGACUGUAGUGGAGUCACCGCAGAGGCACAUGCUAAGGCACUUAUUGUAUAAAAAAGUUUGCAGAUUUAUUUGUGACAGCAACCAGGACUGGAGGCUCUCACAGUGGAGAGCACUAACCAUACAGUAUAGGGUAAUCUUAUUUUAAUUUGUCAUUUGCUCAUAAGUCUAAAUGCAGCAUAUACAAUAUGGUUAAGUAUACAGGUAAAUCCAGCAACCAGUGUACAGUGUAGAAAAGUAAAGAUUAUCUAUAUAACCGCAGUCCCCAUAGAAAGGCAGUGAUAAAGACCUUUAUUUUUCUUAAUUACUUAUAAACGAGAGAUACAAAGGCCUUCAAUGUAUAAUCUGUGCAGAUUAAAAUGCUUUUUUCUUUUUUCUUUAAUAUA